rnacentral:tRNA from 1 species
AAAGCGGUAGUUCAAGCGGAAGAACAUUGCCCUGCCAAGGCAAAGGAUGUCGGUUCGAGUCCGGCCCGCU